rnacentral:rRNA from 1 species
AAGGGUAGCAAUACCUGAGUAAAGUGGCGCACGGGUGAGUAACACGUGACUAACCUACCCUGGAGUGGGGGAUAACUGAGGGAAACCUUAGCUAAUACCGCAUAACACCUACGGGUCAAAGGAGCAAUUCGCUUCAGGAGGGGGUCGCGGCCGAUUAGUUAGUUGGCGGGGUAAUGGCCCACCAAGACUGUGAUCGGUAUCCGGCCUGAGAGGGCGCACGGACACACUGGAACUGAAACACGGUCCAGACUCCUACGGGAGGCAGCAGUGGGGAAUUUUGCGCAAUGGGGGAAACCCUGACGCAGCAACGCCGCGUGGAGGAUGAAGUACUUCGGU